rnacentral:rRNA from 1 species
GACGAACGCUGGCGGCGCGCCUAAUACAUGCAAGUCGAACGAACUCUGGUAUUGAUUGGUGCUUGCAUCAUGAUUUACAUUUGAGUGAGUGGCGAACUGGUGAGUAACACGUGGGAAACCUGCCCAGAAGCGGGGGAUAACACCUGGAAACAGAUGCUAAUACCGCAUAACAACUUGGACCGCAUGGUCCGAGUUUGAAAGAUGGCUUCGGCUAUCACUUUUGGAUGGUCCCGCGGCGUAUUAGCUAGAUGGUGAGGUAACGGCUCACCAUGGCAAUGAUACGUAGCCGACCUGAGAGGGUAAUCGGCCACAUUGGGACUGAGACACGGCCCAAACUCCUACGGGAGGCAGCAGUAGGGAAUCUUCCACAAUGGACGAAAGUCUGAUGGAGCAACGCCGCGUGAGUGAAGAAGGGUUUCGGCUCGUAAAACUCUGUUGUUAAAGAAGAACAUAUCUGAGAGUAACUGUUCAGGUAUUGACGGUAUUUAACCAGAAAGCCACGGCUAACUACGUGCCAGCAGCCGCGGUAAUACGUAGGUGGCAAGCGUUGUCCGGAUUUAUUGGGCGUAAAGCGAGCGCAGGCGGUUUUUUAAGUCUGAUGUGAAAGCCUUCGGCUCAACCGAAGAAGUGCAUCGGAAACUGGGAAACUUGAGUGCAGAAGAGGACAGUGGAACUCCAUGUGUAGCGGUGAAAUGCGUAGAUAUAUGGAAGAACACCAGUGGCGAAGGCGGCUGUCUGGUCUGUAACUGACGCUGAGGCUCGAAAGUAUGGGUAGCAAACAGGAUUAGAUACCCUGGUAGUCCAUACCGUAAACGAUGAAUGCUAAGUGUUGGAGGGUUUCCGCCCUUCAGUGCUGCAGCUAACGCAUUAAGCAUUCCGCCUGGGGAGUACGGCCGCAAGGCUGAAACUCAAAGGAAUUGACGGGGGCCCGCACAAGCGGUGGAGCAUGUGGUUUAAUUCGAAGCUACGCGAAGAACCUUACCAGGUCUUGACAUACUAUGCAAAUCUAAGAGAUUAGACGUUCCCUUCGGGGACAUGGAUACAGGUGGUGCAUGGUUGUCGUCAGCUCGUGUCGUGAGAUGUUGGGUUAAGUCCCGCAACGAGCGCAACCCUUAUUAUCAGUUGCCAGCAUUAAGUUGGGCACUCUGGUGAGACUGCCGGUGACAAACCGGAGGAAGGUGGGGAUGACGUCAAAUCAUCAUGCCCCUUAUGACCUGGGCUACACACGUGCUACAAUGGAUGGUACAACGAGUUGCGAACUCGCGAGAGUAAGCUAAUCUCUUAAAGCCAUUCUCAGUUCGGAUUGUAGGCUGCAACUCGCCUACAUGAAGUCGGAAUCGCUAGUAAUCGCGGAUCAGCAUGCCGCGGUGAAUACGUUCCCGGGCCUUGUACACACCGCCCGUCACACCAUGAGAGUUUGUAACACCCAAAGUCGGUGGGGUAACCUUUUAGGAACCAGCCGCCUAAGGUGGGACAGAUGAUUAGGGUG